UACGGAGGAUGCGAGCGUUAUCCGGAUUUAUUGGGUUUAAAGGGUGCGCAGGCGGCGCGUCAAGUCAGCGGUCAAAAUUCGGCGCUCAACGCCGUACCGCCGUUGAAACUGGCGUGCUCGAGUUUGUGCGAGGAUGGCGGAAUGCGCGGUGUAGCGGUGAAAUGCAUAGAUAUCGCGCAGAACUCCGAUUGCGAAGGCAGCUGUCCAGCACACUACUGACGCUCAUGCACGAAAGCGUGGGUAUC
rnacentral:rRNA from 1 species